rnacentral:rRNA from 1 species
UACGGGAGGCAGCAGUGGGGAAUAUUGCACAAUGGGCGCAAGCCUGAUGCAGCCAUGCCGCGUGUAUGAAGAAGGCCUUCGGGUUGUAAAGUACUUUCAGUCGUGAGGAAGGUGUUAAGGUUAAUAACCUUAGCAAUUGACGUUAGCGACAGAAGAAGCACCGGCUAACUCCGUGCCAGCAGCCGCGGUAAUACGGAGGGUGCGAGCGUUAAUCGGAAUUACUGGGCUAAAGGGCACGCAGGCGGUUAAUUAAGUUGGAUGUGAAAUCCCCGGGCUUAACCUGGGAAUGGCAUUCAAGACUGGUUAGCUAGAGUCUUGUAGAGGGGGUAGAAUUCCAUGUGUAGCGGUGAAAUGCGUAGAGAUGUGGAGGAAUACCGGUGGCGAAGGCGGCCCCUGGACAAAGGACUGACGCUCAUGUGCGAAAGCGUGGGGAGCGAAACAGGGAUUAGAUACC